rnacentral:rRNA from 1 species
AUUGAACGCUGGCGGCAUGCCUAACACAUGCAAGUCGAGCGCGCCGCAAGGGGAGCGGCAGACGGGUGAGUAACGCGUGGGAAUCUACCCAUCUCUACGGAAUAACGCAUGGAAACGUGUGCUAAUACCGUAUACGUCCUUCGGGAGAAAGAUUUAUCGGAGAUGGAUGAGCCCGCGUUGGAUUAGCUAGUUGGUGGGGUAAAGGCCUACCAAGGCGACGAUCCAUAGCUGGUCUGAGAGGAUGAUCAGCCACACUGGGACUGAGACACGGCCCAGACUCCUACGGGAGGCAGCAGUGGGGAAUAUUGGACAAUGGGCGCAAGCCUGAUCCAGCCAUGCCGCGUGAGUGAUGAAGGCCCUAGGGUUGUAAAGCUCUUUCACCGGUGAAGAUAAUGACGGUAACCGGAGAAGAAGCCCCGGCUAACUUCGUGCCAGCCGCCGCCGUAA